GAUGAACGCUGGCGGCGUGCCUAAUACAUGCAAGUCGAGCGAACAGAUGAGGCUCUUGCUCCUCUGACGUGAGCGGCGGACGGGUGAGUAACACGUGUAUAACCUACCUAUAAGACUGGGAUAACUUCGGGAAACCGGAGCUAAUACGGGAUAAUAUAUUGAACCGCAUGGUGGAAUAGUGAAAGACGGUGGUGCGGUAACGUAUAGAUGGAUCCCCGCCGCAUGAGCUAGUUGUUGAGGUAACGGCUUACCAAGGCAAGGAUGCGUAGCCGAGGGGUGUGGGUGAUUGGCCACACUGGAAGUGAGACACGCUCCAGACUCCUACGGGAGGGAGCAGUAGGGAACCUGCGGCAAUGGGCGAAAGCCUGACGGAGCAGGGCCGCGUGAGUGAUGAAGGUCUCCGGUUCGUAAAGCUGUGUUAUUAGGGAAGAACAAAUGUGUAAGUAGCUAUGCACGUCUUGACGGUACCUAAUCAGAAAGCAACGGCUAACUACGUG
rnacentral:rRNA from 1 species